rnacentral:misc_RNA from 1 species
GAUGAAGAACGUAGCGAAAUGCGAUAAGUAAUGUGAAUUGCAGAAUUCAGUGAAUCAUCGAAUCUUUGAACGCACAUUGCGCCCGCCAGUAUUCUGGCGGGCAUGCCUGUUCGAGCGUCAUUUCAUCCAUCAAGCCCCCGGCUUGUGUUGGGGACCUGCGGCUGCCGCAGGCCCUGAAAAGCAGUGGCGGGCUCGCUGUCACACCGAGCGUAGUAGAUUUCAUCUCGCUCAGGGCGUGCUGCGGGUUCCGGCCGUUAAACCACCUUCAUAACCCAAGGUUGACCUCGGAUCAGGUAGGAAGACCCGCUGAACUUAAGCAUAUCAAUAAGCGGAGGA